ensembl:lncRNA
AAAUGCCUCACCAUGCAGCCAGAUGAUCACAUCUCGAUUGGUGCUUCCUUUCCUCGCCCUAGCCUCUCUAUUCUGUAAUCAGACUCCCUACUCCUACGCUGCAUUUCCCUGCUCGGCCUGCCUGUCUCCACCUCCCUUCCACAUGGUCACCGCUGGUCCAGGUGCUGUGGCUCUCCUCCUGCAGGCUCGCUUCCAGGAGCAGAUAGAAGAACUAAAAGCUCUGUGAAAUGAAAUGUAGAAACUAUGCAGCAAGGGGACCAUCCUCUCCCUUUGGAGCUGACCCCCAUGUUUUUUUGCAAACCUGAGUGGGACAAGACUUGCAGUUACAAUGUGCAGGAACAUUUUUUAAUGCAACUCCCAGAAACACAGUUAAUUUUUGCAGUGAAGUGGAGUUUACAGAAAAUCAUCUUGCAUCCCAGAGAACCAAAACUGCACGGUUUGGCCUGCGGGGGUGGAUGCCUGGUGUGGGACUCACCCAUCCGCCCCUGUGACCUGGGCUGGAUAUGGGUCCCGCUGUUCAGCCACUGGCUUCAGAGCGAGAUUUGCCUCACAGAAUACGGGGUGAACACAAACUUUCCACUCAUACAUCUGCGAGAGCAGAGCUUUUGCUCCAACUGCUGAUCUCUCUGAUGUUGCUUGCUCUCUGGGGUGAUUUCUCUUGAUCUCAAAGCAUAUGAACUGAGACUAUCCAUGCGGUUGUAAAAACAAUGCAGAUUAAUGAGAGUCACUCCCUACCAGGUGACCCUUAGAAAACCUGCUCUGCAGACACUGGAAGGCAAGAAUUUUUAAUCCAUUUUGGUCAGACAGCGAUUAAAUCACUGGACUUUUUUCUCAUCAGCAGCAUCUUCAGCGUGGAAACUCUGUGGUCAAUUUUUAUGGCCGUUCAGCAGGUCUGUACUCAGCAAUGCACGUUUCCUAGUAGGCAUCCACGUUGCAUGCUUUUAAAAUUCAUUUCAGGUAAUCUGCUGUAAAGGAGAAUAUUGAGGCCGUGUAUCUUGGCCACCCAAUCUAUACUCUCCCACUGGCAGAUCUAUAUGCCUCUGCCAUAAUAAAAGCACCGUCGAGAAGAGCACAUGUGGAAGUGUUCCCAAGGAGAUCACUGCAUCUUAAUCGCUGCCUUAUGCCCUGCUUAGCACCAUGUCUUCCAAAGCUGUGCUCAUGUCCAUGCAGCUGUAUAUUUUCAUUGCAUGUCACUCCCAAAUAAAUUAUUCAGCACUGUUAGAUUAGUUAUAAACGACACCAAUCAAUUAACACCACAGCCGGCCGUCUUUGGGGCUUUUGUCACAGGCCAGGACGGUAAAGCUCUCGCCUCCACAUCUCCCAGUAAGAAGGAUUAUGUUAAUGACAGCUUAUUUUUAUUGAAUUUUUAAUUGAUGAGUAAUACGUGUGGACUCGCUGUGCUAACAUUAGGUCUAGAGAGAGCUAAUCUCUUGAAGGAGAAUGCGAUACGAGCAGAGCUGCCCUUCCCCAAACAAAAGCCCCACUCGCAUGUGGCACCGAG